ensembl:lncRNA
AAGAUGAGGAUGCAUAGAGUAGGAGGCAAUGGAGGUUUCUCUGCUCAGUUGGUCCCAACCACCCGCCGCACUGGUGGACUGAAUAAAGAUGCAGCAGCAGCAUCCUCAGGAACACCAGAAGCAUGCCAUUAGUACAGAACAGCUUACAUUAAUGCACCACAACAACCACAACAGCUCUUAGAGUGCAUAGAAAGACAAAAGACAAUGACGGACAGCAUUCACGUGAGAUAAGUGGCAGAGAGACGCAGAGAUGCUUUCGUUUAUUCGUCGUUUCAGAGACUGGCCACUGGAGGCUGUCUGUCAACAAUGGGUUCGGCGGCACGGCGGCUCUUUAACAACAGUUUGGAAAGCGGGCGGAGGCAAUCCAAAUACAGACUGGCACACAGAGGAUGACUACGACAGCACUUUAUACCACCUCACCGCCACCGCGUGCUCAUCACGGCAUCAAUGAAGCUUUCCACAACGCGUGUGUUACGUUGAUGAACGAGACAAAGUGAGAGCUUUGGAAGCAGCCUGGUGUGUCAAAUCCCAGAGUUUAAAGGUUAAAACGCAGCCAACUAGCACGUCGUGUAGAAGGCCUGCAGUACGUCGGUGGAGAUGAGUAUAAACCGCUCAAAUGAUGCACAACCUUUGUUUCAGGGAGAGAAAGAGACACAGACAAAGAGAGAGAGAGACACACCGAGGGGACGUCCACGCUACACCAUCUGCAACAAUCAACACUGAGAUGCACGGGUGGAACCGCUUUUGUGUGUGUGUGUGUAGAAAUGUUUUGUGGGAUGUCCUCCUACGCAGAUUUCAGCACUUUGCUUUGUUUGCUUCCAAAGGAAGAGUAAUUAUCAGCAAAGACAAGUGCAAAACAAGUAAUUGUAUUGAAUUACGAAUGAUUUAUGGGUAAUUGUUAUCACAAGCACGUCUGAGGCUGACUUUAAAAUCUACCCCCGCCAGGGAUGAUUCUGUAUUCUGUACAGAAAUGGACCCGUUUGACAUUUAUCAGUAGGAUCAAUAGGAGGGUUGGAGAUCGCCUCACGUCCACUGGCCUGUAGGUAUGAGGGGGUUUCUGCAUAUGAUCACGGGAAGUAGAGCUGAAAUAACCCUGCAAUCAAUCCUUUUUGCAGACACACAAUUGGCUUGAAUACAACAUGUGACUCGACCUUUAGCACAGCAUCUACAACCUGUGUAGUCUGUGAAGACCAUUGUGCCAAGAUACCACCAAGAUACCACCAAGCAUGGCUUUGCUUGAUGUCGUGGUGUGCGAGGAAGGUAAAUGCUCCAGUAGUGGCUUCUCUUUACAUGAUGGGAAUCAAAUAAAUUAGAGAAAAGAAAAAGCAUCAAAAGAAGAACUGGUAUUGUCGUCUUCCAGCGGCAUGGGGCCCCUAAUGGGGAGCGACAUGUAUGAGGGGAGAGUCAAGCUGAUCCUGUUAGGUGUUUCAAUGGAUUUUACAUGGGUGUUAAGGUUCAGAGUGUGCAAUCAGACAUGGGGAGGCCAUCCAUAUUCAUGCUGCGUCAGCGCCAUUUUAGAAAGGAGGAAAUUGUUUUUCUCUCUCUUCGCCGUAAAUUCGUGCUGUUGAUCGCUCAUGGUCACAUUUGUGUGUGUGUGUGUGUGUGUGGGGAGGGGGGGGGCGCAGCAGCAGCAGCGUUGCAUGUGGUCUAAAGCUCGCCAGUGUAAACGUAAUUUGAGGAACCGUUUUGCAUGAAAAAAGAAGCAUUAAAGGGGUGGGGGAGGGGUAAUGCCUCUCGGCUCGGCUCACCCGACCCCCCCCCCAAUAAUAAAUGCGCUUCAUGGAGUUGUAUAAGAGGAGGCUCCACUCUUUAGCCAAAGCCAGAGGAAACCCGGCGUAGUGCAUUUCUGGCCUGCUCAUGCUCAUCUCCACGGACUUCAAUGACGUUUCAAUCCUUAGAUCUUGAUGUAAACUGUGUAAAAUGAAACUAAAUAAAAAUCUAACUCUGACACAACAUUUAAUCAUCUCCCAAAACAGUCCAUCAAAUCCAACUAAAUGGCCUUUAUUUGAUUUCGAAGGGGAGGUGAUAUACAAUCAAACAAAAUGUGACUAUUAGUUGAUUACCUAUGUAAAGACAAACAUGUUUUCUGUUUUAAUUUAAAAAAUGCAGAGUGUCAUUCUCUUGUUGCAGUUGCUCAUUUGCAUACAGGUCCAAAUUGUGCACCUGUGAACAUUUGUUUAAACCAGGCUCCAAAAUCAGUUUUUUUUUUCGAUUUCACUUUUAAGUUGAGAGCUUUUUUACUUAGAAUUUCGCUAGGUGUCGAUCCAUAAUUUAGAAAAUACUGUCAACAGUAAUAAAAUAUGAACAACUCCCUCGGUAAAACAGUCAGAUUAAAGAUAGGAAUGAAACUGGAAAGUUGGUGUAUGUAGGUUUUGUAAAAUCUAAUUUAUUUUGAAGAAACUACAGGUAAAAAAUGAAUAUCACAAUAAAAUGUUGUUUACUUACAUGAAGUUAUUUAUUUUGUUUUAUACAAUUUUGAUUAAAUGUAUAAAUGCAAUGAGGCGUUAUAUAACUGCAGCUUUUGGUGAAUAAUCUACAGAGACAAAUUAUUAAAAUGUGCCGGUCUGGAAAAAGAAAAUCUUAAUGGCAUCUUUUUUAGCUCACAGGCCUGAUUAAAGAAUAAUUACUGUUCAACAACCUUUUUGUUUACAAUCAUAAUUAAAAAAAAUGAAUUGAUUUGUGGAAGAAAUGGAUGAGUGAAAAUUAAUUGAAUUGAUCCAGCAGUGAGACUUUGAUGUUGAUGAUUUGAUCUGUUUGAUAUGGCUGAAUUAAACAUAUUUGGAUGUUUUUCCAGAAACAUCAAGAUAUUUACCCACCAGACUGUUAUUACUAUUCUAUCAUAUGCCAAUUUAAACAUACAUUCACUACUGGAUAGGCUCAGACAAAUAAUACGUUAAAAAUAUUGGAGAGGACGUUUGAGCCUCCUUUUUCA